GUGAGACUCCGUCUCAAAAAAAGAAAGAAAAAGGAGGGAAACAUUCCAAAUCUGCCAAGGCAUUAAAUAUAUAGUGGAUGCAUAUAGUAUUUUCAAUAUUUAAAAGACAUAAAGUAGGUCUCUCUCCCAAUCCUGUCCCCUUCCCAGAAACAAUCCCUAUUAACUUUCUGUCUAUUCCUAGAGAUAUAUCCAUGUACAUGCAUUUAAUGUAUGUGUGUGUAUAUAUAUACAUAUAGACCUAUUUAUCUUUUGCAUUCACACAAAUGGUAACAUAUACAUAAUUCCAUACCUUGCUUGUUUCUUUUUGUUUUGUUUUUGUUUUUGGGAUGGAGUUUCACUCUUGUUGCCCAGGCUGGAGUGCAGUGGCGCAAUCUCGACUCACUGCAACCUCCGCCUCCUGGGUUCAAGCAAUUCUCCUGCCUCAGCCUCCCGAGUAGCUGGGAUUACAGGCACCCACCACCAUGCCCGGCUAAUUUUUUGUAUUUUCAGUAGAGACAGGGUUUCAUCAUGUUGGCCAGGCUGGUCUCGAACUCCUGGCUUCAGGUAAUCCACCCUCCUUGGCCUCCCAAAGUGCAGGGAUUAUAGGCAUGAACCACGGCACCCGGCCACCUUACUUGUUUUUACUUAUCUUAGGGAUUGUUCCGGGUUAGCACAUGUAGACCUCCCAUAUUUGCUUUUUAAUAACUACAGGAAUGUUUUUUAAACAUUGUUUAGAUGGUCCAUCAUUUACUAGCCUUUUAUUGCUGGGCAUUUUGGUUGUACAAUCUUCUGCUGUCCCAACAAAUUAAAUGUUACCCUUGAACAUAAAUAUUUUGGCGCAUAUGCUAGUUAAUCUAUAUUAUCAGUUUGCAGAAAUAGAACCACUAGGCCAAAUGGCAUAUACCUUUAAAUAUUUAAAAUAUUUAAAUAUAGAGAUAAUCAUAUUGCUCUCCUGUAGAGGAUUUCUUCAUUGACUUCUUCCUGGCAGUGCAUAAGAAUGCAUCCUCCAACCCGUUUCCCUUCUCCCCAUCUCCACCUUGGCCAUAUCAGAGUCUGUCUUUUGCAGGAGAAAAAGUUUUGGUCUGGGAUGAGCAUGAAUAUUUUUAAAACUCACCGCAUGGGUGUCAGCAGUGUUUCAGUUGCAAGUCACAGAAAAUCUGCCUCAAACCGACUUAAAUCAAAAUUAAAAAAAAAAAAAAAGAUGGAGAAGUUGAUGGGCACAGAUAACAAAAGUCCAGAGAGAAAAUGUGCUUCAGGUGUAGCUGGAUCUAGGGAGGGCUGGCAUGUCAUGGCACAGCUUCAGGGGCACAGUCACAUUGCAUUAGCAAACAGUGUGAAGGCUGCCCCCUGGAGUUAGUGGCCAUACAUUCAGGGACACAACUAAGCUUACAGGGACCUGGUCUCUCUCCAUUUCCCAGCCCUGUUUCCUUGGGGUUUGCCUUGUUCACAGGCAGGCUUUCUCCACGUGGCAGCUCUAGGUUUACGUUCUAUGAACUUUAUAACCUCAAUCUAAGAGCCUCCCCUUCUCUGUAGAUACAGCCAAAGUCAUGCAAUUGUUCUUCGUUGAUCUGACUUUGGUCAGAUACUCAUCCCAAGUAAUUGAUCACUUCUGGGAAGGUCUUUUGGUUUGCUUGCCUGUCAUCCAUUCCCUGUUCUUCUGAUAGUAGCGCCUUGAUUUUCUUCCUCAAUCUAAGUCCCCAUGGUUCUAGGGACCUUCCUUCAUCCAGGGCUGAGCAUGCGACCCUAGGCAUGGCCAGUCAGCACCCAUCCUACCAACGGCCAAAGUGAUUCUGAUUCUUGGACACUACCUCCUUGACCACUAACCCAUCUGUAGGCUAGAUGAGUUUGUCUGAGACCAGGAAAGUUACAGCUGAAGAAGAUGGGAGAUGGAAGUGCAUACAAAUCACCUGGCAAUCUUGUAGUAAAGCAGAUUCUAAUUUAUUAGGUCUGAGAUGGGGUCCACUGCAUUUCUAACAGGGUCUCGGAAGAUGUUGAUGCUGCUAGUCCAAGGCCCACACUUGGAAGCAGAGAGACGUAAGGUGGAUCCAAUGGCCCCUCCAGGCUCCUCCUGGUCUAAUGAUUUUAAGAUUUCAUAGCAUAUACAAAAGGAUACGAAACAAACAAAAUCUCCACAUGCAAUCAAUUCUAAUUUGUCUCCACUUCACAUGCAAAUAGAAGUCACAUUUUAAUGAUCAUAUAUAUCCAAAAACAUAAAUAUUAUGAAAACAUUCAUUCAUUUAAGAAAUACAAUUCCAUUUCCUGCCUUGAUGGGGUUGGGAGAGGAAACCUUCAUUGAAUUUUUCUAAAAGAAUCAUACUUUUGACCAAUGUUGGCAAGAAAGUAACUUUUUCUUUUGGGGACUGUGAGCUCUUUGUUGUCUUACUGAAAAAACAAAACAAAACAAAAAAUAGAAGACAAAAAACAAAAAACCAAAACAACCUGCUGCUGAUUCUACUGUCAAGCUAGUGACUUAUUUGUGCUUUACCUGAGGAACCAAUUUGCCCUUGGCAGACACUGGGCUUUAUAUAUCUAGUUAUCCCAUCAUAGCUGGGUGGCCUGGUGGCAAAAACUGGGGACAGUCUACUGUUUUCUUGAGAAUAACACAGUCACUCUCUCUCUCAUGACCAACUGCUCUUCACAUUUUCUUUUUAAAUAAAUUCUUUUCUCAUCAUCUCUCAGUACCAAUAUCUCAAUCCAGGAAUAACUUGAACAGCAUCUAAAGAGUUUCUUUGCUCUCCCUUAUUCAAAUCGGCUAUUGAAUGGACUCCCCCAAUAUCCAGCACCAUUUAUUGAAACAGAAAAAUGAUUUCUUUUGGAAAGCAAUUUCAUGCCUUGUUAUCCCCAACAAUGUCUCUAAAAUACAAGGUUAGAUGGCAUUUCCAGGAAGUCCCUAUUCAUUCCUGGGACUGAAAAGGAAAAAUAAAAUUUUAAAGGGGACUCCAGAAGCCCAUGGCAUUGUCUGCUAGAUAUCUUCAUGCCUUGAGGAUCAUUGUGUGGCAUUGUGAAGAUACUUGCUUUAAAAUCAUGCCUCUGUACAGAAAAUUGUAGCCUCAAACCCUGGUGUUAUUAUGUAAAUAGGUGUUAAUGAAUCGAUUGUACUAAGUAGACUGUGAUUGAGAGUUGCUGUUCUUAUGAGAUGAUCACAGAAAGACAGCUGGAUUUUCUUCUGCUUUUUUUAGAAUCCUUAUACUCGUUCUGCUUCACAGAUAUGGCUUCUACCAGAAGGCGAGUUGUGCAGAAUUCUCAUCUUGUGCUUUAUUUUCUUAUUGCUAAACUGUUAAGUAAGCCAGUCCCAUCCGUAAGUUUGAAAAGCCACCUUAGGACUUAAUUAUUAAAAGGUAACGUCUCCUCCAUAAAUACUGAUCCUCUAGAAAUACUGUGGUGUCCACAUUUGUGUUUUAAGAUUAAUAUAACCCAUCCUCUCCUGUAAGAAAUGGGAUUUUGAGGCCCUCUCCUUGCUCUCUGUGUCUGCGAUUGACUCACUGAGUGUCAGAGCUGCACUUAGAGGAUGCCUAAGCUGGGAAGUCAUUGAUCAACAAAUUGCACCUUGAUGGUAGAAUAGAAAGGAGAGGGGUAUUUAUUGUAGCAGGGGGUCGUCUUUAUCCAUUAGUGAUGUAAAUACUAGGAGAUAGAAGAUUUGGGGAUUUGUCAAUCGGCCUAAUGACAUUUUCCCAGCAAGUCUUUAUUGAGCACCUGCUGUGUUCCAAGGCAUAAUGGUUGGCUCUGGGUAUACAGUGAUGAUCCAGCUGAGCCCUGAUCUCAUGGAGGUAACUUAAAUGAGCCAUUUAAUGCCUGGACUUGACUUGAAAAGUGAAGCUAAUUCCUAACCUCACUGGAUUGCUGUGAUGGUGAAACACAUUUUUGAAAGUAUAAAGUAUUAAAUGCAGAGUUCCUGAGGUCAGAAUGAUGACACAGCUUCAGCAAUGUCCUUAACCUUGAACUUUCUAACAUCAGUUCUUUUUUCUAUUAUCUGCUUUCAUGAAGUUAUCCUCACACGGCCUUCACUUCGCCCUUUGUCUUUUUGUGACAGUUGCAUUUUCCUCUCCAAGGAUUAUCCCACUUUCCUGAUUCUUGAAUGGUGCCAGCUUUUUAUCUGCCUUGCAAAAUAUUUUUCUAAAGGAGGGGCCUCCUAAGAAAUUUCAUAGGUAUUCGAUAUGAACUUAGAAAAGUGACUAUUCACAAAAGAUACUGAGACAAAAACGAAAAGUAGCUUUCUGUAUUAUACAUACAAUAAAAAUCGGAACGUAACACCCCAGAAUACAGUUCUCUUGAGACAUCUCUGUCGUUUCCUAGAGUUAGAAAUAAACAGAGAACAGUUUUGGAGUUGGGCGAGUAGCCAGCCUUGUCGUCUGCAGAUAGGAAUGAUGGGGGUCAUGUUUGAGUGAGGGAGAGAGUGGAGAGGCAGUCUCUUGAGCAUGCUGUUGGAGCAGCUGAGACUUGGAAACAUGUAGGCAACGUUUCUAAGAAUGUCUUUGCUGUACAUGUUGGAGGAAGAUCUCAGAUUUUUGCAUUUAAAAGAUCCUGGCCUGUCACAGCCUCCCCGCUUAAAACUACAGCCCUUAUGAAAAACAGGUGCUGGGAUAGAUUUGGCCCCUGGACCAUUGUCGUUUGCCAACUCCUGGUAGAGUGGAAGAAACUCAGAACAAGGAGUGAGAAGCCUUGCCUUCCAAUUUUGGUUUUAUUACUUUUUAGUUUUGACAUAAUCAUUUAACUUCUAACCUCAGUUUCCCCAUCUGAAAAAUGAGUAUGAAAAGAGGGUAAACAGGAACUUUACAGUGGAGAAACCCGGCAGACACUACCUGAGUCAGGUGGUCAUGGUCAACAUCAUCAGUGCUAAGUCACGAUAGAGUAAGAAAUAUUUGGUCUUUGUCCCUGGUUCCUGACACAGAACUUCUAUAACCCUUGGAAUUUCCUGAGUGGCAUGCAUGAUAGGAGCAUUUUCUAUUAUUCAUAACAAGCCCCUUCAGCCUUACCUGAGUUUCUGCUAAUGCAGUGACUUUUGGUGGGCCCCUAGAUAGCUCCAGGAUGGAGCUGGUUGCCAAAGGAACCAGCCAUGUAAUUAAAGAGUGGAACUUUCAGGGCCACUGAUAUGGUUUGGCUGUGUCCCCAUCCAAAUCUCAUCUUGAAUUACAGCUCCCACAAUUCCCGUGUGUUGUAGGAGGGACCCAGUGGGAGGUAAUUGAAUCAUGGGGGCAGGUCUUUCCCGUGCUGUUCUCAUGACAGUGAAUGACUCUCAUGAGAUCUGAUGGUUUUAUAAAGGGGAAUUCCCCUGCACAAGCUCUCUCUUGCCUGCUCCCAUGUAAGAUGUCCCUUGUUCUUCUGCUGUGAUUGUGAGGCCUCCCCAGCCAUAUGAAACUGUGAGUCAAUUACAACUCUUUCUUGUAUAGAUUACCCAGUGUCAGGUAUGUCUUUAUUAGCAGCACGAGAACAGACUAAUGCAGUCACCCUUCCUUCAGGGAGGGGUGAAGGGGUCGAGAUUGAGUUAAUCACCAGUGGUCAAUGAUGUAAUCAAUCAUACCUCUGUUAUGGAAGCUCCAUUAAAAAACCUAAAGGACAGGGUUCUGAGGGUUCCAGAUUGAUGAAUGCAUCCAUGUACCAGGAAUGGGGCACAUCCCAACCCCACAGGGAUGGAAGCUUCUGUACUCUGCCCCUUCUGGACCUCACCCCGUGUGCCUCUUCCUUGAGCUGUUUAUGUGUAUCCUUUAUAACAAACAAGUAAGAGUAGGAAAGUAUUCUCCUUAGUUCUGUGAGCCCUGAGGAGGGAGUUUUAGGACUCCCCUGACCCCAGAUUUAUAGCCAGUCAGAAGUGUGGAGGGCUCAGGACUUGCAAUUGGUGUCUGAAAUGGGGCAGUCUUGUGGGGCUCUGUGUUAACUCUGGGUAGUUAGUGUCAGAACUGAAUUGAAUUGAAUUACAGGAUACCUGGCUGCUGUCCAGAAAACUGGAGAAUUAGUGUGAGGAAAAACCCCCACAGUUGGUGUUAGAAGUGUUGCGAGUGAAGCAGCCGAGAGCCACGUUGAUAGCAUGCAUCCUUGAUAGGAUUUGAUGAAAAUGGCACCCCAGCCCUGCGGUCAUCCUCCAGAAAAGCCAUUGACAGCAGUUGAAGCAUGAGAAAAUGACCAGGUAGACCUAGGGACAGUCUACAAUAUACCUGAUCACUAUUCCUCAAAACUGCCAAGGCCAUAAAAACAAGGCAAGACUGAACCACGGUCACAGAUCAAAGGAGACUAAGGAGACGUGAUUAAACAUCGUGUGGUAUCCUGGACAUGGGACCUUGGGAGAGAAAAAGGACAUUAGGGAAAAACUGGUGACAUCUGAACAAAGUGUGGAGCUCAGUUAAUAGUCAUGUAUCAGUGUCGGUUCCUUGGUUGUGACAAAUUUACUGUGGCCAUGUAAGAUGUUCACAUUACAGGGACCUAGGUUAGGAGAAUAGGUGAAUUUUGCAACUUUGCUAUAAAUCUAAAACUGUUCUACAGUAAAAGCUUUAUAUUAAGAAAAUAUUAAAAAUCUCUAGGAUUUGGCAAUUGAUUAGGUAAGGAGGGCAAGGGAGAAGGAGGAAUAAAGAUUUUUGUGAAAGUCUUUGGCCUGAUUACCUCGGAAGUUAGCUAUGCGAGUGGACAGAAAUGACAGAAUAUAGGAGGCAGUCUGGCUUGCAAUAGGAAAUAAUGAACUCGUGGUACUAGGGAUAUAUCCAUGAAUGCGAUGUACCGUUUAACAGUUAAAGUAAUAAAAAUGGCCAGAAAGGGCUUUUGGAUUUCAGAUGUUUGGUUUAAAAUGACCUCUAGCCUCACAGCAUUUGGCAUUUAAAUUCUAAUUUAAAAAGAAAGAGGAACUGGAUUAAAAAUAAAGUAGUGAUUGAACUUGUAUAAAUAGCUGGACUCCUGCUCUUGUUUCUAUGUUUCUGUGUGGGUAAAUUUAUCUUUUUGUCAUUAAUGCAUUGCUUGGAGCUUGGAGUAGCUAUCAGCCCCUCUUUAUUUGCAGAAGGACUUAGAGUCAUGUUGCCAAGUGAAACAUGAUUUAAGUGACUCAGCAGCCAGAGCCAGCCCUUUUUCUUUAGCUAGAAAUGCUGGUUGUGUUGACCCAAAUAUACUGGAGCGCAUGUUUUGUUUACUUCAGACAAGAAGUAAGAGCUUUGAGUCAUUCCUUUUUCUACCCUAUUUAUAUUUUACAGCCAGAACUGCCUCAAAAAUACACACAGCCAUUCAUCAGAGGCCUGCGAUGUCUGCUGUGCAUUAACAAUAUAUGAAAUAUGUGAAAUUUAUCAGUGUAGGAUCAAACCACAGGCAAGACCUCACGCCUGCAUAGGUCAUGAACAGGCACUUCACCGAAAAAGAAAUUCAGGUGGCAAUACAUGUGUGAACAAAAUUAAACUUUGCAAAUAACAAAAGAUGUAUAAUUAAACUUGUGAAGAUAGCAAAGAAAUGCAGGAACCAAUGCUGGCAAGAGUAUGAAGAAGAGUACUCUGGCAGGAUUAUAGAUCAACAUAAUAUAGGGGGAGGGCAGCUUGAAAUAUAUAUUCCAGACUUUAAAAUGUAUUUAUCCUUCGUUUCAGUCAGUCCACUUCUAGAGAUUAUCCUAAGGAAACAAUGGGAUAGGCAUAUAAAGAUAUAUGUAAAGAAUGACCAUCUAAGCAUUGUUUAAAAUAGUAAAGCACUGAGGAUAACAUCCAACAAGACAGACACUGGUUGGCUUCAGUGUUGUAGAUGUAGCAAUCAUAAUAGAAAGGCUUGCAUUAAAUUUUUGAAAAAACAUAUUUCAAAAUGCAUUCAUAUAGUCCAGUUUAUACAAAAUGUAUGUGUGCAUGUACACUUCUAAAAGAACAUAUGCUAAAUUUUAAAUGCUUUUAAACUGUAAAUGAAAAUAAAAAUGUUUUAAUUCUAAACCAAAAUGUGGACUCUCAGUGCUAAAUUCUGAGUGAUGUAAACGGUCCUCUCAUAAAUUACUAUCAUUUUUGUAGAGCCUAAAACAUGUUCCCAUCACCACCCAUAUGCUUCCUCUCCAAAAUAAUCCUGAAUUUCUUAAAUAAAAAUUGUAGUUCAUCCUAAA